rnacentral:rRNA from 1 species
UACGCAGGGUGCGAGCGUUGUCCGGAAUUAUUGGGCGUAAAGAGCUUGUAGGCGGUCUGUCGCGUCUGCUGUGAAAAUCCGGGGCUCAACCCCGGACCUGCAGUGGGUACGGGCAGACUAGAGUGUGGUAGGGGGAGACUGGAAUUCCUGGUGUAGCGGUGAAAUGCGCAGAUAUCAGGAGGAACACCGAUGGCGAAGGGCAGGUCUCUGGGCCAAUAAACUGA